UCUAGUCGACCUUUCUCUAUGGCACUCCUUAACCGCUGGAGUUGCUGGGCUUGCUAGGGCUCCGGAGAAAACUCCACCUCGGGGCACAUAUCCUGCCAGUGUUGGUCAUGGUGCCGCUCCCAAGACUAGCAGUCUUUGAUCUGGAUUACACACUCUGGCCUUUCUGGGUCGACACGCACGUAGAUCCUCCGUUCCACAAGAGCAGUGAUGGAACCGUGCGAGAUAGGCGGAACCAGGACAUCCGACUGUACCCAGAGGUUCCUGAGGUUCUGGAACGAUUGCAGCGCCUUGGGGUGCCCGGUGCGGCCGCUUCACGGACAGGUGAGAUAGAAGGAGCCAACCAGCUACUGGAGCUCUUUGACCUUGUCAGAUACUUUGCUCAUCGGGAAAUCUAUCCAGGCAGUAAGGUCACACACUUUGAGAGGUUGCAGCAGAAGACUGGAGUUCCUUUCUCCCAGAUGAUCUUCUUUGAUGAUGAGAGGCGAAAUAUUGUGGAUGUCAGCAAACUGGGUGUUACCUGCAUUCAUGUCCAGAAUGGAAUGAAUCUUCAAACCCUAACUCAAGGGUUAGAGACAUUUGCAAAGGCUCAUACUAGCCCCUGAGGUCCAGCCUGGUGAAUGAACCUCACUUAAGGCCUAACACCGAAAAGAAAUCAAGACAGCAUUUGCAGUUUCUGUUUUUCUAGACUGUGAACUGGAUCGUUGUCCUGAAAUGCGAAGACCCCAGUAAGACAUGAUGCUGCAUGAGGUUGUGCCAUGUAAACUUGUGAAGACCGUGAUCCCUUUGGGCUGGAACC